UACGAUGCUGACGCUAACCUAAUAUUCAGUAACCUACAACGGACAGUAGAGCGUAAAAUUAUUGGAUAAGUCACGUGCAAGGAAAUCCAUAGCAGGUUCUUGCAGAACAAAUUUGAACUCAUCAGACGCUUGGUACCUGAGAGAAGAGCAGCUGUUCUGGUUUUGAGAUUCUGCAUGAUGCCAAACUGGAUAUGUUGUAAUUCCUGCUUUCAUCCUCCGGCUGCCGACUACAGACUUGCUGUAACGACUUGCGGCCACAUUAUCUGCCAGAAUUGCUUUCAGAAAGGCAACCAAGGAGAAUGCCUGAUUUGUAAAGCACAAUGCCAAGUUUCUCCCCUCUCAGACAAAAGCAGACCAGAAGUAAAGGCCCUCUUUGCUGAUGUCAGUGUUGUUGCAAACAAAUACCUUUCUGAGAUAAGCAAGGUUUUAAUAUUUCAGAUGAGACACCAAAAGAGUCUACUUUCAUAUUUCAGACAGAGGGUAUGUGUUGCUUUCAAAAGGCCUGUAUUGCUGAUAAUGAAUGCAAAUAUUUAAAUAUUUAUAAUAGAAUGUUAUUUAAAUUCAGAAAGUCUUAUUAUACUUCUUUUAAAGCUUCAGUCAUUUAACAACCUGCUAUAGGUCAGACAUAACAGGAAAAAGGGUAACGGAAGUGAGUGGGAAAUGCGUAUUUGAAGUGAUACUGCCGACAAGCAACUCCGGGCCCUAUCUGCAUAUGAAGAGUUCAUUUGC